UAGGGAAUCUUCGGCAAUGGACGGAAGUCUGACCGAGCAACGCCGCGUGAGUGAAGAAGGUUUUCGGAUCGCAAAGCUCUGUUGUAAGAGAAGAACGAGUAUGAGAGUGGAAAGUUCAUACUGUGACGGUAUCUUACCAGAAAGGGACGGCUAACUACGUGCCAGCAGCCGCGGUAAUACGUAGGUCCCGAGCGUUGUCCGGAUUUAUUGGGCGUAAAGCGAGCGCAGGCGGUUAGAUAAGUCUGAAGUUAAAGGCUGUGGCUUAACCAUAGUACGCUUUGGAAACUGUUUAACUUGAGUGCAAGAGGGGAGAGUGGAAUUCCAUGUGUAGCGGUGAAAUGCGUAGAUAUAUGGAGGAACACCGAUGGCGAAAGCGGCUCUCUGGCUUGUAACUGACGCUGAGGCUCGAAAGCGUGGGGAGCAAACAGGAUUAGAUACCCUGGUAGUCCACGCCGUAAACGAUGAGUGCUAGGUGUUAGACCCUUUCCGGGGUUUAGUGCCGUAGCUAACGCAUUAAGCACUCCGCCUGGGGAGUACGACCGCAAGGUUG
rnacentral:rRNA from 1 species